CGCUGAUGCCCUUCCUGGGCGUUUCCUCCCUGUAAACUUAGCCGCGCUCGAGCAGCGCGGCUUUUUUUUGCUUGAAU
rnacentral:sRNA from 1 species